GACGAACGCUGGCGGCGUGCUUAACACAUGCAAGUCGAACGGGAUCCAAAGGCUUUUUGUUUUUGGUGAGAGUGGCGAACGGGUGAGUAACACGUGAGUAACCUGCCCCCUUCUUUUGGAUAACCGCAUGAAAGUGUGGCUAAUACAGGAUAUUCCAGGCUGGUCGCAUGAUUGGUUUGGGAAAUGGUUUGGUCUGGUGGGGGAUGGGCUCGCGGCCUAUCAGCUUGUUGGUGGGGUGAUGGCCUACCAAGGCGGUGACGGGUAGCCGGCCUGAGAGGGUGGGCGGUCACACUGGGACUGAGAUACGGCCCAGACUCCUACGGGAGGCAGCAGUGGGGGAUUUUGCACAAUGGGCGCAAGCCUGAUGCAGCGACGCCGCGUGAGGGAUGAAGGCCUUCGGGUUGUAAACCUCUUUCGCUGGGUCGAAAGGCCAUGCUGUGGGUGUGGUUGAUUUGAACUGGUAAAGAAGUACCGGCUAACUACGU
rnacentral:rRNA from 1 species